GUAGGGUGGCAAGCGUUGUCCGGAAUUAUUGGGCGUAAAGCGCGCGCAGGCGGUCCUUUAAGUCUGGGUGUGAAAGCCCACGGCUCAACCGUGGAGGGUCAUUGGAAACUGGGGGACUUGAGUACAGAAGAGGAAAGCGGAAUUCCAAGUGUAGCGGUGAAAUGCGUAGAGAUUUGGAGGAACACCAGUGGCGAAGGCGGCUUUCUGGUCUGUAACUGACGCUGAGGCGCGAAAGCGUUGGGAGCAAACAGGAUUAGAUACCCUGGUAGUCCACGCCGUAAACGAUGAGUGCUAAGUGUUAGGGGGUUUCCGCCCCUUAGUGCUGCAGCUAACGCAUUAAGCACUCCGCCUGGGGAGUACGGCCGCAAGGCUG
rnacentral:rRNA from 1 species